GCAGUCGAGCGGACGGAUGGGAGCUUGCUCCCUGAAGUCAGCGGCGGACGGGUGAGUAACACGUGGGCAACCUGCCUGUAAGACUGGGAUAACUUCGGGAAACCGGAGCUAAUACCGGAUAAUUCUUUCCCUCACAUGAGGGAAAGCUGAAAGAUGGUUUCGGCUAUCACUUACAGAUGGGCCCGCGGCGCAUUAGCUAGUUGGUGAGGUAACGGCUCACCAAGGCAACGAUGCGUAGCCGACCUGAGAGGGUGAUCGGCCACACUGGGACUGAGACACGGCCCAGACUCCUACGGGAGGCAGCAGUAGGGAAUCUUCCGCAAUGGACGAAAGUCUGACGGAGCAACGCCGCGUGAGGUGAUGAAGGUUUUCGGAUCGUAAAACUCUGUUGUUAGGGAAGAACAAGUACCGGAGUAACUGCCCGGUACCUUGACGGUACCUAACCAGAAAGCCACGGCUAACUACGUGCCAGCAGCCGCGGUAAUACGUAGGUGGCAAGCGUUGUCCGGAAUUAUUGGGCGUAAAGCGCGCGCAGGCGGUUCCUUAAGUCUGAUGUGAAAGCCCACGGCUCAACCGUGGAGGGUCAUUGGAAACUGGGGAACU
rnacentral:rRNA from 1 species